rnacentral:rRNA from 1 species
CACGAAGGGGGCUAGCGUUGCUCGGAAUCACUGGGCGUAAAGCGCACGUAGGCGGCUUCUUAAGUCAGGGGUGAAAUCCUGGAGCUCAACUCCAGAACUGCCUUUGAUACUGAGAAGCUCGAGUCCGGGAGAGGUGAGUGGAACUGCGAGUGUAGAGGUGAAAUUCGUAGAUAUUCGCAAGAACACCAGUGGCGAAGGCGGCUCACUGGCCCGGUACUGACGCUGAGGUGCGAAAGCGUGGGGAGCAAACAGG